GACGAACGCUGGCGGCGUGCUUAACACAUGCAAGUCGAACGGAAAGGCCCUGCUUUUGUGGGGUGCUCGAGUGGCGAACGGGUGAGUAACACGUGAGUAACCUGCCCUUGACUUUGGGAUAACUUCAGGAAACUGGGGCUAAUACCGGAUAGGAGCUCCUGCUGCAUGGUGGGGGUUGGAAAGUUUCGGCGGUUGGGGAUGGACUCGCGGCUUAUCAGCUAGUUGGUGGGGUAGUGGCUUACCAAGGCUUUGACGGGUAGCCCGCCUGAGAGGGUGACCGGCCACAUGGGGACUGCGGUACGGCCCAGACUCCUACGGGAGGCAGCAGUGGCGAAUAUUGCACAAUGGGCGGAAGCCUGAUGCAGCAACGCCGCGUGCGGAAUGACGGCCUUCUGGUUGUAAACCGCUUUCGCCUGUGACGAAGCGGGAGUGACGGUAAUGGGUAAAGAAGCACCGGCUAACUACGUG
rnacentral:rRNA from 1 species